rnacentral:rRNA from 1 species
AUGAACGCUGGCGGCGUGCCUAAUACAUGCAAGUCGAGCGAACAGACGAGGAGCUUGCUCCUCUGACGUUAGCGGCGGACGGGUGAGUAACACGUGGAUAACCUACCUAUAAGACUGGGAUAACUUCGGGAAACCGGAGCUAAUACCGGAUAAUAUAUUGAACCGCAUGGUUCAAUAGUGAAAGACGGUUUUGCUGUCACUUAUAGAUGGAUCCGCGCCGCAUUAGCUAGUUGGUAAGGUAACGGCUUACCAAGGCAACGAUGCGUAGCCGACCUGAGAGGGUGAUCGGCCACACUGGAACUGAGACACGGUCCAGACUCCUACGGGAGGCAGCAGUAGGGAAUCUUCCGCAAUGGGCGAAAGCCUGACGGAGCAACGCCGCGUGAGUGAUGAAGGUCUUCGGAUCGUAAAACUCUGUUAUUAGGGAAAAACAAAUGUGUAAGUAACUAUGCACGUCUUGACGGUACCUAAUCAGAAAGCCACGGCUAACUACGUG